rnacentral:rRNA from 1 species
UACGGAGGAUGCGAGCGUUAUCCGGAUUUAUUUGGUUUAAAGGGUGCGUAGGCGGGCUUUUAAGUCAGCGGUAAAAAUUCGGGGCUCAACCCCGUCCGGCCGUUGAAACUGGGGGUCUUGAGUGGGCGAGAAGAAGGCGGAAUGCGUGGUGUAGCGGUGAAAUGCAUAGAUAUCACGCAGAACCCCGAUUGCGAAGGCAGCAUGCCGGCUUCCGACUGACGCUGAAGCACGAAAGCGUGGGGAUCGAACAGG